AGUGAACGCUGGCGGCGUGCUUAACACAUGCAAGUCGAACGAGAACGGAAUAUAGCUUGCUAUAUUUGUCAGCUAAGUGGCGCACGGGUGAAUAAUAUAUAGAUAACCUGCCCUUAAGAAAGGAAUAACAGUUGGAAACGACUGCUAAUGCCCUAUAUGCCUUUAAUACAUAAGUAUGCAAGGGAAACGCUUUAGUGCUUAAGGAUGGGUCUGUAUGGUAUCAGCUUGUUGGUGAGGUAAUGGCUCACCAAGGCUAUGACGCCUAACUGGUUUGAGAGGAUGAUCAGUCACACUGGAACUGCGACACGGUCCAGACUCCUACGGGAGGCAGCAGUGGGGAAUAUUGCACAAUGGACGAAAGUCUGAUGCAGCAACGCCGCGUGGAGGAUGACACAUUUCGGUGCGUAAACUCCUUUUAUAUAGGAAGAUAAUGACGGUACUAUAUGAAUAAGCACCGGCUAACUCCGUGCCAGCCGCCGCCGUAA
rnacentral:rRNA from 1 species